rnacentral:rRNA from 1 species
UACGAAGGGUGCAAGCGUUACUCGGAAUUACUGGGCGUAAAGCGUGCGUAGGUGGUUUGUUAAGUCUGAUGUGAAAGCCCUGGGCUCAACCUGGGAAUUGCAUUGGAUACUGGCAGGCUAGAGUGCGGUAGAGGAUGGCGGAAUUCCAGGUGUAGCGGUGAAAUGCGUAGAUAUCUGGAGGAACACCGGUGGCGAAGGCGGCAUCCUGGACCAACACUGACGCUGAGGCGCGAAAGCUAGGGGAGCAAACAGG